GACGAACGCUGGCGGCGUGCCUAAUACAUGCAAGUUGAGCGAUGAAGAUUGGUGCUUGCACCAAUUUGAAGAGCAGCGAACGGGUGAGUAACGCGUGGGGAAUCUGCCUUUGAGCGGGGGACAACAUUUGGAAACGAAUGCUAAUACCGCAUAACAACUUUAAACAUAAGUUUUAAGAUUGAAAGAUGCAAUUGCAUCACUCAAAGAUGAUCCCGCGUUGUAUUAGCUAGUUGGUGAGGUAAAGGCUCACCAAGGCGAUGAUACAUAGCCGACCUGAGAGGGUGAUCGGCCACAUUGGGACUGAGACACGGCCCAGACUCCUACGGGAGGCAGCAGUAGGGAAUCUUCGGCAAUGGACGAAAGUCUGACCGAGCAACGCCGCGUGAGUGAAGAAGGUUUUCGGAUCGUAAAGCUCUGUUGGUAGAGAAGAACGUUGGUGAGAGUGGAAAGCUCAUCAAGUGACGGUAACUACCCAGAAAGGGACGGCUAACUACGUG
rnacentral:rRNA from 1 species